AAGAGACAGCAGCAGCCGCGGGAAUACGGAGGGUGCAAGCGUUGUCCGGAUUUAUUGGGUUUAAAGGGUGCGUAGGCGGCUAUUUAAGUCAGCGGUGAAAGACUCCGGCUCAACCGGAGCAGUGCCAUUGAUACUGGAUAGCUUGAGUGUUGGAGGGGUACAUGGAAUUGAUGGUGUAGCGGUGAAAUGCAUAGAUACCAUCAGGAACACCGAUAGCGAAGGCAUUGUACUGGCCAACAACUGACGCUGAGGCACGAAAGCAUGGGGAGCGAACAGGAUUAGAGACCCCUGUAGUCCCUGUCUCUUAUAC
rnacentral:rRNA from 1 species